rnacentral:rRNA from 1 species
AUGAGGCAACAAGGGAGCCCCUUGGACUUGAACAACCUGCCGGAGGAGUACGGCAAGCAAGCCGUGGAGAGCUCGACGACCACCGCCGCAUCGAGCGCCGCCGCUGCCACCGACGCAACCAGGACAAAGAAGAAGAGCAUCGGAGGGAAGGAUGAGGCCGGCAAGGUGUACCAGUGCAGGUUCUGCUCCCUCAAGUUCGGCAAAUCCCAAGCCCUGGGCGGCCACAUGAACCGCCAUCGCCAAGAGAGGGAGACCGAGACCCUCAACCGCGCCCGGCAGCUCGUCUUCGGCAACGACACCCUCUCCGCCGUCGGCGCACAGAUGAGUUUCAGGGAUGUGAACAUGGGAGGCAGUGCUCCAUCGGCCAUGCUGGGAGGAGGAUUCAGGGGAGGCCUCACCGGCAGCGGCGGCGGGGUCGUCGGAGACCCGAGCCACCACCCGUUCUGGCCGGUGCACCCGCGGGUGUCGCCGCAGACGCCGCCGUCGUACCAUUACCUCUACAGCACGACGCCGUCCGCGUUGAACCCCAUGAGCUACCCGGCGACGUACCCUGCCCCUCCCCGCCAGCAGCCGCCCUCCGUCGGCGACUACGUCAUCGGCCACGCCGUUUCCCCUCCCCCGGUGACGCAAUGA